GGUAGCUCAGCUGGUUGGAUCAUGGUGCUGAUAACGCCAAGGUUGCAGGUUUGAUCCCUGUAUGGGACA